rnacentral:rRNA from 1 species
AGGGUUUGAUCCUGGCUCAGAUUGAACGCUGGCGGCAUGCUUUACACAUGCAAGUCGAACGGUAACAGGCCGCAAGGUGCUGACGAGUGGCGAACGGGUGAGUAAUGUAUCGGAACGUGCCCAGUCGUGGGGGAUAACGCAGCGAAAGCUGCGCUAAUACCGCAUACGAUCUAUGGAUGAAAGCGGGGGACCGUAAGGCCUCGCGCGAUUGGAGCGGCCGAUAUCAGAUUAGGUAGUUGGUGGGGUAAAGGCUCACCAAGCCAACGAUCUGUAGCUGGUCUGAGAGGACGACCAGCCACACUGGGACUGAGACACGGCCCAGACUCCUACGGGAGGCAGCAGUGGGGAAUUUUGGACAAUGGGCGCAAGCCUGAUCCAGCAAUGCCGCGUGCAGGAAGAAGGCCUUCGGGUUGUAAACUGCUUUUGUACGGAACGAAACGGUCCUGGUUAAUACCCGGGGCUAAUGACGGUACCGUAAGAAUAAGCACCGGCUAACUACGUGCCAGCAGCCGCGGUAA